rnacentral:rRNA from 1 species
GAUGAACGCUGGCGGCGUGCCUAAUACAUGCAAGUCGAGCGGUAAGGCCUCUUCGGAGGUACACGAGCGGCGGACGGCUGAGUAACACGUAGGAACGUACCCCAAACUGAGGGAUAAGCACCAGAAAUGGUGUCUAAUACCGCAUGUGCUCUAAGGAGUAAAGCUACGGCGGUUUGGGAACGGCCUGCGUACGAUUAGAUUGUUGGUGAGGUAAUGGCUCACCAAGUCGACGAUCGUUAGCUGGUCUGAGAGGAUGAUCAGCCAGACUGGGACUGAGAACGGCCCAGACUCCUACGGGAGGCAGCAGUGGGGAAUAUUGGACAAUGGGCGAAAGCCUGAUCCAGCCAUGCCGCGUGAGUGAUGAAGGCCUUAGGGUCGUAAAGCUCUUUCGCCAGGGAAGAUAAUGACGGUACCUGGAAAAGAAGCCUCGGCUAACUCCGUGCCAGCCGCCGCAGUAACAC